rnacentral:rRNA from 1 species
CUGUAGUGGGGGUAUAACUAGUCGAAAGGACUAGCUAAUACCGCAUACGACCUGAGGGUGAAAGUGGGGGACCGCAAGGCCUCAUGCUAUAGGAGCGGCCGAUGUCUGAUUAGCUAGUUGGUGGGGUAAAGGCCCACCAAGGCGACGAUCAGUAGCUGGUCUGAGAGGACGAUCAGCCACACUGGGACUGAGACACGGCCCAU